rfam:Escherichia coli 53638 plasmid p53638_226, complete sequence.
CCCGCUAUUCCGGUAGCGGUAGCCUAAUCAGAAUGGCGUUGCUGGUAACGGCAAGGUCAUAAGCUCUGAUGACAACGUACUCUCCCUCAGGAAGGGUAAGUCGAGCCGUGAGGUGAGACGAUCGUCUGCAAGCAUCAUGCGGACAGGAGG